rnacentral:rRNA from 1 species
AACGAACGCUGGCGACAGGCUUAACACAUGCAAGUCGAACGCCCCGCAAGGGGAGUGGCGCACGGGUGAGUAACGCGUGGAUAUCUGCCUUUUGGUUCGGAAUAACCCCGGGAAACUGGGGCUAAUACCGGAUGGUUCCUACGGGAUAAAGAUUUAUCGCCAAAAGAUGAGUCCGCGUACGAUUAGCUAGUUGGUGAGGUAAUGGCUCACCAAGGCGACGAUCGGAAGCUGGUCCGAGAGGACGAUCAGCCACACUGGGACUGAGACACGGCCCAGACUCCUACGGGAGGCAGCAGUGGGGAAUAUUGGACAAUGGGGGCAACCCUGAUCCAGCCAUGCCGCGUGAGUGAUGAAGGCCUUCGGGUUGUAAAGCUCUUUUGGCGGGGACGAUGAUGACGGUACCCGCAGAAUAAGCCCCGGCUAACUGCGUGCCAGCCGCCGCAGUAAUAC